UAUGGAAAAAUAUAUUUCAUCUAAUUUGAAAAAAUAAGGAAACAGUGCUUUGCUUUCCCUAGCCUUCCUUCUCAUUUACUGUAAGAUAAUAAUUUUUCUUUUUCAGGGUUCGUUUCAAUUUUUUGCAAAGGAUUUAGCAAUGAAACACUAAAAUCUCAGGCAUUUUCAUUAAGCUCAUUUUUUACUUUCCUCAUAUAUAGCCUAUAUGCUUUAUUUAAUCU
rnacentral:lncRNA from 1 species